UACGUAGGGUGCGAGCGUUAAUCGGAAUUACUGGGCGUAAAGCGUGCGCAGGCGGCUUGCCAAGUCAGAUGUGAAAGCCCCGGGCUCAACCCGGGAACGGCGUUUUGAAACUGGCAGGCUAGAGUUUGGCAGAGGGGGGUGGAAUUCCACGUGUAGCAGUGAAAUGACGUAGAGAUGUGGAGGAACACCGAUGGCGAAGGCAGCCCCCUGGGCCAAAACUGACGCUCAGGCACGAAAGCGUGGGGAGCAAACGAGGAUUACGAA
rnacentral:rRNA from 1 species